UCAAAGGUUCUUAAAAGAUGAGAGCAUUGGAACGAUACAGAGAGUAUUAGCAUGGCCCCUGCGCAGGGAUGACACACAAAUUUCGUGAAGUGUUCCAUAUUUUU